rnacentral:rRNA from 1 species
AUUGAACGCUGGCGGCAGGCCUAACACAUGCAAGUCGAGCGGAUGAAGGGAGCUUGCUCCUGGAUUCAGCGGCGGACGGGUGAGUAAUGCCUAGGAAUCUGCCUGGUAGUGGGGGAUAACGUCCGGAAACGGGCGCUAAUACCGCAUACGUCCUGAGGGAGAAAGUGGGGGAUCUUCGGACCUCACGCUAUCAGAUGAGCCUAGGGCGGAUUAGCUAGUUGGUGGGGUAAAGGCCUACCAAGGCGACGAUCCGUAACUGGUCUGAGAGGAUGACCAGUCACACUGGAACUGAGACACGGUCCAGACUCUUACGGGAGGCAGCAGUGGGGAAUAUUGGACGAUGGGCGAAAGCCUGAUCCAGCCAUGCCGCGUGUGUGAAGAAGGUCUUCGGAUUGUAAAGCACUUUAAGUUGGGAGGAAGGGCAGUAAGUUAAUACCUUGCUGUUUUGACGUUACCAACAGAAUAAGCACCGGCUAACUUCGUG